rnacentral:rRNA from 1 species
AAUUUUGGACAAUGGGGGCAACCCUGAUCCAGCCAUCCCGCGUGUGCGAAGAAGGCCUUCGGGUCGUAAAACUCUGUCCAUGGGGACGAGACAAGACGGUACCCGUGGAGGAAGCCCCGGCUAACUACGUGCCGGCAGCCGCGGUAAGACGUAGGGGGCGAGCGUUGUCCGGAAUUACUGGGCGUAAAGGGCGCGUAGGCGGCAAGGUAAGUUAGAUGUGAAAAUUCGGAGCUCAACUCUGAAAUUGCAUCUAAAACUGCCUAGCUUGAGUGCAUCAGAGGAGAGCGGAAUUCCUAGUGUAGCGGUGAUAUGCGUAGAUAUUAGGAAGAACACCAGUGGCGAAGGCGGCUCUCUGGGGUGCAACUGACGCUGAGGCGCGAAAGCUGGGGGAGCGAAC